rnacentral:rRNA from 1 species
UACGAAGGGGGCUAGCGUUGCUCGGAAUCACUGGGCGUAAAGGGUGCGUAGGCGGGUCUUUAAGUCAGGGGUGAAAUCCUGGAGCUCAACUCCAGAACUGCCUUUGAUACUGAGGAUCUUGAGUUCGGGAGAGGUGAGUGGAACUGCGAGUGUAGAGGUGAAAUUCGUAGAUAUUCGCAAGAACACCAGUGGCGAAGGCGGCUCACUGGCCCGAUACGUGGACGCUGAGGCACGAAACGCGUGG